GCCAUUCCUCCCUGGUGGAGUGACCCUUUCGGUUUCAAAAUCUCCCCGUCUUCCACCGUUUCCACGUACACGUCGUUUCGCCACUCUUCUUCCCCCCUGUCUCCCUCUCGCCCACUCUCUUCUCCUCCGGUUCCCUCCCCAAAUUCGUCCGUUCGCAGCCCCGGCCCCGGCUGCUCUCCUCCUCCCCGCAGGCCUCCCGCGCCGACGGCGGCGGGGUAUCGCAGGCCAGCCCCACCGGCGCCGCACCGGCGCGGAUCGGUUACCCCCUUCGCCGGUUAAGGCACAACAAUGGCUUCAACUGCUGCAGUACCGGCCACAAAUACAAAUGGGAACCAUGCACUAAGUGUGGAUUCACAUUCCAGCCAAGAUGUUAGGCGGCGAACGGUUGUUGCAAAGAAAAAGCCUACACCUGAGCUUCUUACUGAAGGUGGAGUUAAUGGGGUCUCAGAUGAUAAGGUUUCUAGUAAGAAGGAUAUUGGUCAUACAAGCCGUGGAGAGUCAGUUAUCGACAAACCGAAAUAUUCAUCUGAGGGAAGAAAAGAUGCACUUCCUCCAGCACCUUCUGCUGAACAUCGAAAGAAAAGUACUACUAAACAAGAAAAAGCCAAGUGGGAAACUGCACUAAGUGUGCUGAUGAAGCUUUGCCUUCUUUUUACGGCUUUUGCUUGGAUGGGGCAGGUGUUAUGGGGAUGGCAAAAUGGGGAUCUAUCAUUUACAGCACUUGAUAUGAAGAGCAGACUAUCCAAGGUAGAGGUGUUCAAGAAGACGACUAGGAUGCUCCAGGUGCAACUGGACAUUUUAGAUAAGAAGCUAGGAGAUGAGAUCGGCAAAGCAAAAAGGGACAUCACAAAGCAAUUUGAUGACAAGGGCAAGAAGUUAGAGACAAAGGUGAAGACAUUGGAAGGCAAGGCUGACAUAUUAGACAAGUCACUUGCUGAACUGAGAAACAUGGGUUUUGUCUCCAAGAAAGAAUUUGAUGAGAUUCUGACUCAGUUGAAGAGAAAGAAGGGUUUGGAUGGCACUGGGAGUGAUAUAACCUUAGACGAUGUAAGAAUAUUUGCCAAAGAAAUAGUGGAGAUGGAGAUAGCCAGGCAUGCAGCAGAUGGCCUUGGAAUGGUGGAUUAUGCAUUAGGGUCUGGUGGUGGCAAAGUGGUUAAGCAUUCGGGUGCUUUCAAGAAAGCUAAGAGCAUUCUUCCUCGUCGUAGUGAAAGUCACAAAAUGCUGGAGCCAAGUUUUGGACAGCCAGGAGAAUGUUUUGCACUGGAAGGAAGUGCUGGAUUUGUGGAAAUCAGGCUCAGGACAGGAAUUAUUCCUGAGGCAGUCACUCUAGAGCAUGUCGACAAGAGUGUGGCCUUCGACCGCUCCAGCGCUCCCAAGGAUUUCCAGGUCAGCGGGUGGUACCAAGGAGCAGACGACGAUUCAGACAAGCAACCACGCACGCCGACAAGCCUAGGAGAGUUCACUUACGACCUCGAGAAGAGCAACGCCCAGACCUUCCAGCUAGACAGAACCACCGCCGACGCAUCUGUGGUCAACAUUGUCCGGCUCGACUUCUCCUCGAACCAUGGGCAGCCUGAGCUGACGUGCAUCUACCGCUUCAGGGUGCACGGCAGCGAGCCUGGCUCUCUUCGGCACCGCGGCAUCGUGAGGCCUGAUCUAGUUAGUACCUGUGUGCCUGGGACCAUACGGUCUUCCCUCUUUAGCUUUGAUUGAAGACUUGAAGCCCCUGCGAGACGGUAGGUUCAAGUUGAUUCUAAUCUGUAGCAUAAUGGUGCCACUAUGGACAGACGCUGACUUACUGUUCUUGUUCCUAGCUAGAGGUGCUAAUUGCUUGUAUCUGGCAACUACGAUUGCUCUCUGUACUCUACCGUGGCACUAUUUGUAAUGUAAAAUUAUUAAUUAGGGCGUGAACUGGUGGUGUUCUCGUGUGUUUGGAGUUUUUAUUUGCUGCGAGCUUGCCCUAUAUUUGUUUAUCUCAACUAUUAUGUACAUGACGUGCAACGGUUAUCAAGAUUAAAAC
rnacentral:rRNA from 1 species